AGUGAAUGAAGAAGAGGAUGGUUAUUGAAUGAAGGGAGCCCACGUAAAUUUGAUGCAUCCAGCAAAAUUGGGGGUGUGUCCAGCAACACUUGGGCUUCAUUCACGCGUCCAUGCAAGCUGUCCAGUAGCUGACGCGCCCAACAAUAUCAUCCAGCUUGGAGAGGGGCGCACGUCCAGCAAGCUCGGAAGAAGGGCAACACACGGCCCAGAGAAAACACGUUGUUGGCUGGAUUGAGAGGCGCGAACAGCAGAUCCAACAGGUGUGUGCUUGGAGAGAAUGGGAGGUGCACACGGAAGCACACAGCAGCAAGGAGAAACCGUGUCCAGCGUCCAGCAGCAGCAUUCACGCUGAUAUAUUUGGAGGUGUCCAGCCGCUAAUGGGGGGAUCUUCUUACUUUGGAGAAAGAAAGCACGCAUGGAGGGCUACGGGUAGCAGCAGAGAAGCACAGCUAGAAAGCAAGGGUGCCUCGGCCUGGAGCUGAACCAGCCGCCACUCUUCACUUUGCAAUUUUCCUUGAACGUUUUAUGGAGUUUGGAAUGGUUUUAAGGUGAAUUUAGUGAAAAGAGUGAAGAAGGAGAGAAGUGACAUUAGAAAAGACAAGAAAGAGUGCAAAAAGAGAAGACAAAGGCACCGCUCAGCGGCAUUUUACCGCUGAGCGGCACUCAGGAGGUUGCGGGAGUCACGUUGAGGGGCAAACUGGCCGCUGAGGGGAAGAAAAAGACGCGCAAUCGCCGCUGAGCGGCACUUUUUGGGCUUGGGCUUUUGUAAUCUUUUGUAACUCUAGAAUAGUAUAUAAGGACUUGCACGUCCUAGGGUUAGAGAUCUUUGGCAGAACGAAGGCAAACACUCUCUCUUCCACCCCUUUGAAGGAGGAUCUUGGAUGCUCAGGCUACCUCUUCACCUUUUUAGGGUUUAUUCUUUCAUACUUUCAUUGUAAUUCAUCUAGGUUCACCAUGAAUAUGGUGAACUAAACCUUGUAUGUUUGUUGGGGAAUCAAUGUAAUCUCUUGAAGCUCUCAUAUAUGGAAUUUAUGCU